AGCGAACAUUGGCGGUAGGCUUAACACAUGCAAGUCGAGCGAGGCGUAAUAGUCGAGCGGCGAACGGGUGCGUAAUACAUGGGAAUCUACCUCGAAGUGGGGGAUAACGUCCAGAAAUGGACGCUAAUACCGCAUAAUCCAUAUUGGGAAAGCAUUGCAGCGCUUUGAGAUGAGCCCAUGGCUGAUUAGCUAGUUGGUGAGGUAAUGGCUCACCAAGGCGACGAUCAGUAGCUGGUCUGAGAGGAUGACCAGCCACACUGGAACUGAGACACGGUCCAGACUCCUACGGGAGGCAGCAGUGGGGAAUCUUGCGCAAUGGGGGCAACCCUGACGCAGCCAUACCGCGUGAGUGAUGAAGGUCUUCGGAUUGUAAAGCUCUUUCGGCGGGGACGACGAUGACGGUACCCGCAAAAGAAGUCACGGCUAACUUCGUGCCAGCCGCCGCCGUAA
rnacentral:rRNA from 1 species